AUUGAACGCUGGCGGCAUGCUUUACACAUGCAAGUCGAACGGUAACAGGCCGCAAGGUGCUGACGAGUGGCGAACGGGUGAGUAAUGCAUCGGAACGUGCCCAGUCGUGGGGGAUAACUACUCGAAAGAGUAGCUAAUACCGCAUACGAUCUAUGGAUGAAAGCGGGGGACCGUAAGGCCUCGCGCGAUUGGAGCGGCCGAUGUCAGAUUAGGUAGUUGGUGGGGUAAAGGCUCGCCAAGCCAACGAUCUGUAGCUGGUCUGAGAGGACGACCAGCCACACUGGGACUGAGACACGGCCCAGACUCCUACGGGAGGCAGCAGUGGGGAAUUUUGGACAAUGGGCGCAAGCCUGAUCCAGCAAUGCCGCGUGCAGGAAGAAGGCCUUCGGGUUGUAAACUGCUUUUGUACGGAACGAAACGGCUCUGGUUAAUACCCGGGGCUAAUGACGGUACCGUAAGAAUAAGCACCGGCUAACUACGUG
rnacentral:rRNA from 1 species